rnacentral:lncRNA from 1 species
UGAACACCUACGUAUUCGUAAUCAUAUUGAAAUAAGAUCAACAGAACAAACAGUCAUCAUGAAGUUGGUUUUAUUCGGAUUUCUUGUCUGUGUUCUGGUAAUCUCUGUGAAAAGUGACACGCGAAAUGUUGGGUAUGAUAAGAUUCUUGACUUAGUGCGUGAAGAAAUACAGAUCUUUCGUGACCCAAAGAUUUUAAAAUUGGAAUCGAUGAUCAUGACAAUGAAAGAACAGCUUAAUAGACAGGAUGAUCAUAUUCGAAGUCAGAAGACUCUAAUCAAAGAGCAACAGAGGCGCAUCGAUGGUCAGGAAAUACAAAUUAAAAACCACGAGAAACAGAUACACAAGGCUUUUGAACACAUUUCUAUGCUAGAUGGAAAAACAAUCAAUGAAGUGGAUCAGAAACAAUCAGUGGGAGGCAAUAAAAUCAAACCAUGGAAACAUACAGAAGCACGUGACUUUGGAAACAUCACUAGCCAUUCAUUAAUAGACCAUGCACUACGUCAGUCGAUUAAGUCCAUGUCGGAAAAUACAGGAAACAGGAAAGAAAGACACUCUCUAACAAAACGAUUAGGUAUAGUAUAUCAAAUAGGUUGAAAAUACUAUAAGGUGGUUGAUCUAAGUAUCAUUGCAUAUUUACGCCAAUAUAAAACGAGCGCGAAAAUAUCAAGGAAACAAUUUUCAUGACAUUAAAUCCAUACCUUUAAUUUUACAAAUUGUGACUUGGAUGGAGCGUUGUCACAUUGGCACUAAUACCACUUUUUCUUAUAUCUAAGUAUAUGAAUAGAAUAUCUUGAGGACUACUAUAUAACACUGAUAUAAUAGAGGGACACAUCUUUGCAUCAUAUCAAAAGCAAUAUGUGACAAUUACAAAUAUAUAGAUAUGAUGUACAAUGAAUACAUAACUAUCAAGAACUUCUUUCCUUUUUGGUAUUUGCAGGUUUGAAUGCUAACAUUGUAGCAUUUUAUGCCUAUCUGAGUCACGGGGAAUCCCAACCAGGAAAACACCAAAUACUCAUAUUCGAUAUUGUUAAGACAAACGUUGGACUUUCCUUCAAUAAACACAGUGGUAUGUUUACUGCUCCAGUGAAUGGUGUAUACGCUUUUGUCUGGACAGUUUCCUCUGGUACAUAUAGUUAUAUCUAUUCUCAGCUGGUUGUUAAUUCAGAUCCAUUCGGAGCCAUUGUAACAGACAGUGACGAGAUUAACGAUUACCACACGGUAACUGGAAGUGUAGUAGCAGAAUUAAACCAUGGAGAUGUUGUCUACAUACGUACUAACCCAACUGCUAGCAUAAAAGGAGUUAUCAGAAGUCAAGAUGAGAUGCGUACAAGUUUUAGCGGAUGGAAAUUAUAAUCGAGAUCUUAAAUCG